UUAUUAGGUUAUAAUAAGACGUUACGUUUAGGACUACUAAUGUUUGUAUAAAGGGCGAACUCGGUCAAUAAAGACCAGAGCUCUACAGUGCACAGGUGUGUGGAUUAAAAGGGCAGGGUCUAGUCUUGCGACGUCGACCGCCAACCCGAUUAUGUUUCUCUAAUGAUCCUUCCGCAGGUUCACCUACGGAAA
rnacentral:misc_RNA from 1 species